GACGAACGCUGGCGGCGUGCCUAAUACAUGCAAGUAGAACGCACAGUCUAUACCGUAGCUUGCUACACCAUAGACUGUGAGUUGCGAACGGGUGAUUAACGCGUAGGUAACCUGCCUGGUAGCGGGUGAUAACUCUGGGAAACGUUAGCUAAUACAUCUUAAUAUUGAUUAUUGCAUGAUAAUUGAUUGAAAUAUUCUAUUGCAUCGCUACCUGCUCGACCUGCGUCGUAUUAGCUAGUAGGUGAGGUAACGGCUGACCUAGGGGACGAUACAUCGCCGACCUGGGAGGGUGAUCGGCCACACUGGGACUGAGACACCGCCCAGACUUCUACGGGAGGCAGCAGUAAGGAAUCUUCGGCAAUGGACGAAAGUCUUACCGAGCAACGCCGCGUGAGUGAAGAAGGUUUUCGGAUCGUAAAGCUCUGUUGUAAGAGAAGAACGGGUGUUAGAGUGGAAAGUGCACACUGUGACGGUAUCUUACCAGAAAGGGACGGCUAACUACGUG
rnacentral:rRNA from 1 species